rnacentral:rRNA from 1 species
UAGAGUUUGAUCCUGGCUCAGAUUGAACGCUGGCGGCAUGCUUUACACAUGCAAGUCGAACGGCAGCGCGGGUGCUUGCACCUGGUGGCGAGUGGCGAACGGGUGAGUAGUGCGUCGGAACGUACCGAGUAGUGGGGGAUAACGCAGCGAAAGUUGUGCUAAUACCGCAUAUUCUGUGAGCAGGAAAGCGGGGGAUCUUCGGACCUCGCGCUAUUCGAGCGGCCGACGUCUGAUUAGCUAGUUGGUGGGGUAAUGGCUCACCAAGGCGGCGAUCAGUAGCGGGUCUGAGAGGAUGAUCCGCCACGCUGGGACUGAGACACGGCCCAGACUCCUACGGGAGGCAGCAGUGGGGAAUUUUGGACAAUGGGCGAAAGCCUGAUCCAGCCAUGCCGCGUGUCUGAAGAAGGCCUUCGGGUUGUAAAGGACUUUUGUCAGGGAGGAAAUCCCCAGGGCUAAUACCCUUGGGGGAUGACAGUACCUGAAGAAUAAGCACCGGCUAACUACGUGCCAGCAGCCGCGGUAAUA